GAAACUAUAUCGUCUCUUUCCUUUGUUCUCAUCUUCUCCUUUCCUCUUCAUACAUUCACUGUUACUGAGCCUAUUUGUCAUCAAUCAGUGGAGUUCUUCAAUAUCGUCUUAAUGAAUACGUUUCACCUCCUUCCUUUUCUCCUUAUUCAUAUAUUUUCCCCCUUUCAUGUCUACAAACCAAAACCCUAUAUUCUGAUCUCUCUUAGAAUCGAUAUUUGAAUUUGAUCAAACGUUUAAGAAUGUUCUCGAAGAACAUCUUUACAACUUUUUUCAGUGUUAUCUCUCAACCUCAUUGACUGAUUAGCUCUUUUCUGAACAUGUUUCAGGUUUCCGUUCGACGCCAAAAGUUUACCGGAGAGAUUUUUAAUAGCGAGACCUUUAGUGACAAGAUUCGCAAUUACUAGGGAUAGAAUUGCUGGUGAAACAAAAAAAAAACUUGAAGCUUUAACAAGUCUCUGAUUUCGUUAGGGAUAAAAACAUGUGAGUUUACAGAUGUUAAGAGUGAAAUAAUAGACUUUAGCUUUUGGAAUGAAUUUUCAGUAACAGAGCUUCGUGGUGUCUACGACGGUCAAGAUGUCGCCGUGAAGCUGCUUGAUUGGGGUGAGGAAAGGCAUAGUUCAGAAGCUGAGAUUGUGUCUUUGAAGGCAGAUUUUGCUCAGGAAGUUGCUGUUUGGCAUAAACUGGACCAUCCAAAUGUUACUAAGUUCAUAGGAGCUACAAUGGGUGCAUCAUGUUUACAACUACCAACAAAGAGUGGUCCACUAGCAAUGCCAAACAGUAUAUGUUGUGUUGUUGUUGAAUAACUUCGAGGUGGUGCUUUGAAAUCCUUCAUGAUCAAGAACAGAAGAAGAAAGUUAGCAUUUAGUGUUGUUGUUCAGCUCGCUCUUGACCUCGCUAGGGGGUUGAGUCACCUUCAUUCACAGAAGAUUGUUCACCGUGACGUAAAGUAUCUGUUGAGAAUCUCUGUCUUCUCUAUUUUAAUUUAGAGUUAUGAUAGCUCUAUACGCUCAUAAAUGGCUCGAGUUCAAGCUUCUAGGGACUGCUACAGUUUGCCACAUCACCAAGUUGUUAAGGAAUUGUUUCUUACUAAAUGGAUUGGGAUGCAAUUGUUGCUGAUCACUAUUCUUGGGUUUCUCAUCAAGCUACUAACAUGUCUGAUCAACUCAUCAGUUUCCACUCCAUGACCAAAACUCAGCAGGCAUCAUGGGUUUGUAUGCCAUGACUCAGACCGAGACUGUCAGACGAAAAGAACUUAUAUAAAAACCUUCUGGCUCUUGCUUUUUGUUGUUUGUAGGAGUCAAAGCACCUCCAAGAUUAAGAGAUAUAAGGAUCUUUAUUAAACGGACUUUUUAUUAUCACUAGAGCAGCAAGAAGAGAAAUAAUAAGAGCUUUCAAGGAUUAAGGAUGUUAGAGCUGAUGAAGAGGAUAUGGCACUGCUCGCUGUGACAGGAUAAACGACCAGAGAAGUAGAUGAACAAAUCUGAUAUAGAGUUUCUGAACAGCAAGAUGAUCUUUGAAAACUUUCGUUGCAUUGUAUUCUUUGUUUUUCGCUUAUUUGAGAUAAAUAUGUAUAUGUUUCACAAAACUGAGUAAUCAAAGAUAUUGUAUCUGAUACCUA